AGGAGAUGGUGUUCGCAGGAUACUGGAAAGACCCUCAUUAUCUGUCAAUGAAUAUCAGGUAGGAAUCGGAUUGACGUAACGUCGUACUUUCCAUCACGACGCCCUAAACUGUAUUAGGGUAGAAAGUUAGAGGAAGAAAUCAUUGUCGGAUCAUUGGUAGUUUGUCUUUCUGCAAUACGCCAUAUCCAAUGUCCUACUCUCUUCACGUCAUGUGACAUUUCUGCUAUAGAUUAGCCUACUUAGCUCUUAUCUUAGUGUCGACUGGAGACCUUAUCGUAUAAUAUUUUAGCAUUCAGUCUUAAGAAUAGAGUGACGCUGUCUGUUCGUUUAUAAUUCCAUCGAUUGCUCGCUGUGAAUAAUCAGCAAGGACAUGGAGGAAAAGGAAUUGUGCCAGCACGACGGGAGCCGAGUUUGAUUAAAAAUACCAAGAGUUCUUUUUUUAUUUCUUUUUAUUUUCCAAUUGCUUAGAUUUUUUUUUUAAUAAGUAUGAUUAUCGUCUCUCAUAAAUGUUCCCGGAGGAUAAUGGAGAUUACCAAACAAGUUAAGAGAAACCAAAAGUCCAUUGAGGCGUCUCCUAUUGAUCCAAAAUCCACGAUCCUGGCAGAUGGUGGUCAAUAAUGGCCGAUGAGAUUUUUCGAUCACUUGUUUGGUCAGGAUUCAUUAAAAAAAUCCAAGAGAAAUUAUCGAUUUUUCUUUUUUCGACAGGAUAAAUUUGUUCGUCCUUUCUUCGGUUGACUAUUAGUCCUUAAAGCGGAUUUUCUAUUUAGAUACAAAUUGUCGGGGCUAAAAUUAGUGUUCAUUUUGAGUCGAUUAGGAGGUAGGCGAAGUGCGAAUGAACUGCUGAAAAAACUGCACAUUUUACAACCCCAUCGAACAUUAAGAGGUAGGCUACGAUGUUCAUGCCUAAUUUACAACAGCUGGUUUAAUCAAAGAGUUCUCUUUUCUAACUGCUACACGACUGGCGUAAAAGAUUGAAAGCCUCCAGACAUCUACAUCUCUGGAAUAAAGACAUUUGUUUGAAUAUGGGGGGGACGGAUGGUGGGCGAGAUGCGCUAACAUUUCCUACACCGUAGCGCGUAAUUAGCCAGGGAUUUUGGAGUACACCUUGGCCAAAGCCUUCGAUUAAUUCAUUAAAACGAUAGAAUGGGAAGAAACGAGGGAUGCCGAGAAAAUCAACAUCGAUUAUCCGCAAAAAGUUUUACAAGUUGAGAUCGAAAUUUCUUUGUUCUAUAAGCGCGGGUCGAUGAUCGCUCGAAUCGACGCAGCUUCUGUUGAUGAUGGAAGAAAGAAUAUCGUCCAACUGUUUAUUUUUAUGUUUUCCUGCUGGAAAUAGCAUUUAUUGUGUAUAAAAAUUCCAUAAUAUCCUUACUUCUUUAUUUUCUCUUUUAUAAUUUAAUUCGGUUCCAUUUGGGAAGGUAGAUAUAAUUUAAUUAAAGCUCACUUCAGAGUUUUAAAAUUAACAAAAGAAGACUCGAUUUAUUAUUAUGUAUAAAAAAGAAGAGAAUUAAUGAUAUAAGUUAAGGGUUUUCUUUAGGAAUCAUUAAGAAGAAUAAUCAGCUAUGGAGAGUAAUCGAGAAUAAUUGACAAAUUUCGGUCUUUAGCAGCUAACGAUUUCUCUAUGGUCUAAAUUAAAAAAGAAAGAAAUUUAGUUCGAUACAGUUCUAUCGACGGAUGCGUCUAAAUCUUCUCAGAAUCGCUAGUAAAUCGUUAGAAAUUAGCCAACCGUCUAAUGACUAGGUAAAAUAAUCGUCUCGGAGAUGUUCUACCGCUACAUAAGAGUUUAGCGGGCUAAUAGGCUUCCGGAUCUCUCGUUCUCCCUCAUUAGUUUUCAGCUAAGGGACGCUAAUAGUCGCUGGCUCCUCUAGUUCCCUUAGGUCUGCCAAACUGUCCACUCAUUAUCUUUAUAUAAGACCAGAUAAACUCUUCAAAUUUGGAUAGGCGAGAAAUUCGAUAGUCUCCAUCACCGAUACUUUACAAAUAUUCUCGGUAUGGUUGGACGUCUCGGAGACAGUCUAGCCCAGCCCUAUUAAUUGAUCAAUCCCAACUUUGUUGCCAGCGCUACAUCUUCCCAUAAAGUUGCCGACUAAUUUAUUUUUUGCCAGCUAACCGAAUUAGCUGGGCAUCCGAGUCCCAGAUAAACUUACAAUAACUAUUACCAAAUCCCUCUAAACACGUAUUUUUGGCUUCUCCGCACCGGUACCGUAUUAAUUAACAUAUCCAAACUUACCAGCCAUAAUUAUUGCCGUACGUAGUUGUAACUUUGCUAAAUUUUGCCAUUUAUUUCUGUUUCAUUAAUACUCGAAAAUUUAAUUUUCACGUUGUAGCCGUACCUCGGGGCCAAAACCCAGUUAAAUUUUGAAAACGCGACUGGCACAUUUCGAAGUCGUUAAAAUUAUUCCCUAGGGCGUUUAUAUUAAAAUAAAUUUCGCCCAAGAAUAGUUAACUUAAAAUGCCAAUCAUUAAGUGAACGUAAACAUCCAGUUAAUUAGCUCUAUCAUUCCGAUCGGUAAAAUCUUCGACAUUUUUAAAGCCACCCCAAUCCAUGGAAAAUAUCGGUUUUAAUUAUUAUUUUUAUUUUCUACGCUUUAAUCCGACCAUAAAAACGGCGGUUUCUGGUAAGGAAUUAGUUCUUUAAUUCCGGCAGGCUGGAAAUGACAAAAUGUCAGUAAACUGGCCGAGAAAAAAUGUAGCCAGAAAGGAAAAAAAAAUUCCAUUGUUAGUUGGGUAUCGGUUUUGAUAGGAUUAAAAAUUCCACCGCCGCUAUGAGACCCGCGGGUAUCAGGCGACAAUCGAUAGGCGGUAAUGGAGUUGUACGAUAUUUUGUAAGGUGCGAUGGCACUCGAGUCUUUCCCUCGAUACACUCGCUUCAUAAACUACUACCUCAGGCGUGGAAGCGUAAGUAAGCCGAGCCGUGUUAACAAAAUAGUUAUCCGCUCGUACCAGGGCUAAAGAAUUCUACAAACUUCGCAAAAUAUUAUAUGGCCUUGGUUAACAAAUCGAAUUUUCGAUGGAAAAUGGAAAAUCACCGGUCUGAUUGGUGUUACGUAGACGGCCGCGUAAUAUGUUUCCAGCAGCGCUCUUUUGAAUCGAUUCAAAGUCUUCUCGACACGCAUUUUAGACGAAAAUAAUUAAAGAAGUCGGUAUUUUUGGUCUGAAAAGUAGUUUUCCAAACAAAUGGUAGAAAUCGAUUUCAGGCCAGUGGAAGGAAAAAUCAAAUGCGCCUAAAGUCUCUACCAUAAAUAAAUACGGAGCGGUUUAAAUCCGAGGAUGGCUUUCAUCGGCAAACACCAGUUAAACCUUAAAACAGAUUACGUUACUCGGCCGAAUUCGAAACACUUAGGCCCAGGCUGUACAAUACUUAAAUUUAAAAGGCCUAAGUAGUGAAUAAACGCUCCUUUUAUAAGGCCAGCAUAAACUGGGAAAUUUUAUCCGGAGAACCGCUGUAAUAUCCUUCUAUAAGAUGUGCUGGUUGGAAAACUUGUCAAUAUAUAAAGAAACUAUAGGAUUAAGUCCUCUGGUAUACCGAUUUAUUUAUGUUGGACAUUUUGCAUAGGCCGUCUAUAAUUAAUUUAGCUUUUAACUAUAAUUUCCAUUAAGUACUCGGUCCUAUCCCGCGCAAUUAAUCCUUAAUUUAAUUUCUGUACAAUAAACCCGAAAAUUGUCCAAUCUAACCGUUAUAAAUUUAAUAAAUAACCCAGGAAUAUUCUUAUCCCUACAUAUUAAGUUAUCAGAAUGGUGAAAGCUGAUAAUCAGUAGCCAGGAAAAAAAAAAGAAACGCGUUCGGAUAGGAUAUUACCGGGAUUCUGAACACGUUAAUUGGGUUCAGGUGUUCAAGAUGGUUAGACGUAUCACUUAUAGGAAGACGGCUUUUAUUGAUUAUACUCGUCAGCGCCGAGCUUCGACGCUUACCAGAAAUGCCGCGAUAAAAAGUAAUGAUAGGUAUUAAAGGUGAAUUUUUUUUGUAUAUUUAAAACAGUCUAAUGAAAGUAUAUAAAUCGUGUUUGGCAAAAUUCCGAUGGAAGAUAACUUAUUUGUUUUGUGUAAUUUAUAUAAAUGCAAUUUUCUAAGCAAAGAAUCUUUUGAUAGAUACGAUAUUUGAUGAACAUGAUUUAUAUAUCGGACAAGAUGUAUGAUGCAAUUAAAUCUGGAGAAAUGCUUAAAGGAAGAGAAUAUUGUUAUGGGGAUGAGUGAUUUCUGUAGAUUCUGCUGGCCAUUUGUGCUCGGUGACUCAAGACAGGAGCGCUGUAAUUAUCUUUCAUCCGACAGAAAAGGGGAGGCUUAAAGUUGAAUUUAAAAUGCUCUUUUUAAAACCAUGCCAUCAAAAACAUUCAAAUAAUCGUUUCUUCUUUUCCUUUUUCAAAUUUUUAAGCCAACGUCUCUUUCUUAUAAGAGAUCUUAUGGUGGUGAAUUAUUUUUAAGAAUUUCGGGUAUGUUAACUAUAAAAUCCCCCAAAAAUAUGGGUCGAUAUUUACACUUUUUGGCCAUUUUUGAUUCGUCCCUAUUUGAUCCGCGUCUACGGAAGAGAUCGUUUUUACGACUUCUAUUAGAAAUUAGUUUUUCACUGGUACAGUACCAAUUUAAUUUUAUUCGAUCAGAAAUCGAGAAUUACAAGCUGUUGUUAGUGGAAAAAAGUCCGAUGUCGAAGCUGAAAGAAGAAAGAAUAUCGACUGGUCAAAUAAAACAAAAAACGAGCAAAGCCAGCCAACUAUCGAAGAACCCUUAAGAAUAUCGCUUACUUCUAUAAAAUAGAGUCAAUAGAGAAGUAUAUUUUCCGUGUGGAGUAGAUUGAUGACCAAAUUUGCAGAUUUGAAAUAUUGGUUCGAAUUUGAUCGAUGUCACAAAUGUAUUACCGAGAAUAUGUUCUAGCUCGGAGAAACACGUGGUGAAAAAAUAACGUUUUCUUCAUUUUUUUAUGCGAAAAAAUGGCCUUUCAAACGACAAAAUUACAUAAUUUUAUUUUUCCCCAUAAGAAAAAACACGUCGAAUUUUUUAACGAAGAAAAAAAUACAAAUUUAUGCGUUAUACAUUAAUCCCUCUAUAGACUUCAUCGAGUUUUUAAAAUAUUCAUUUACUCCAUUCGAUUAAUUUAUGGCAGGAAUAAAUAAUGACGUAGAUAUGUCAUUGGCAAAGAAAAAAAAAAAAAAAAACCUUUAAAUUUUUUGUCAUAGUUUCUCCUCACCAUUAUCUCCUAACUUUUACAGAUAAAAAGUAAAACCCGCUUUCAUCUUCAUCCCAUCAAUAUUGUGGUUUAGAUUUAGGAUAUAAAAAAUGAAAGAUUGUUAAGGGGGCGAAGAAAAAAAAGAGGCAAAUUUGCGAUAUUUCGUACAUAUUGCCUUAGUCAAUUAGAUAAAAAGGAAAAUAUUUUGAAAAGUAAUUAAUGCCGUUUUUAUCGUUUUAGAGUCAAACUUACUUUUAAAAGAAAAUUUUGUGAAG
rnacentral:lncRNA from 1 species